GUAGUCAUAUGCUUGUCUCAAAGAUUAAGCCAUGCAUGUCUAAGUAUAAGCAAUUAUACCGCGAAACUGCGAAUGGCUCAUUAAAUCAGUUAUCGUUUAUUUGAUAGUACCUUACUACUUGGAUAACCGUGGUAAUUCUAGAGCUAAUACAUGCUAAAAAUCCCGACUUCGGAAGGGAUGUAUUUAUUAGAUUAAAAACCAAUGCCCUUCGGGGCCCUCUGGUGAUUCAUAAUAACUUCUCGAAUCGCACGGCCUUGCGCCGGCGAUGGUUCAUUCAAAUUUCUGCCCUAUCAACUUUCGACGGCUGGGUCUUGGCCAGCCAUGGUGACAACGGGUAACGGAGGGUUAGGGCUCGACCCCGGAGAAGGAGCCUGAGAAACGGCUACUACAUCCAAGGAAGGCAGCAGGCGCGCAAACUACCCAAUCCCGACUCGGGGAGGUAGUGACAAUAAAUACUGAUACAGGGCUCUUUUGGGUCUUGUAAUUGGAAUGAGUACAAUUUAAAUCCCUUAACGAGGAACAAUUGGAGGGCA
rnacentral:rRNA from 1 species